rnacentral:rRNA from 1 species
AACGUAGGUGGCGAGCGUUAUCCGGAUUUACUGGGCGUAAAGGGUGUGCAGGCGGGCUGUUAAGUGGUGUAUGAAAUAUCCCGGCUCAACCGGGAAGGGUUAUGCCAGACUGGCAGUCUAGAGAGCGAGAGAGGGACGUGGAAUUCCGGGUGUAGUGGUGAAAUGCGUAGAGAUCCGGAGGAACCCCAGAGGCGAAGGCGGCGACCUGGGUCGAGACUGACGCUGAGGCGCGAAAGCGUGGGGAGCAAACAGG